rnacentral:rRNA from 1 species
UACGUAGGGUGCAAGCGUUUGUCCGGAAUUAUUGGGCGUAAAGAGCUCGUAGGCGGUGUGUCACGUCGGCCGUGAAAACCUGGGGGCUUAACUGUGGGCUUGCGGUCGAUACGGGCAUCACUGGAGUUCGGUAGGGGAGACUGGAAUUCCUGGUGUAGCGGUGAAAUGCGCAGAUAUCAGGAGGAACACCGGUGGCGAAGGCGGGUCUCUGGGGCCGAUACUGACGCUGAGGAGCGAAAGCGUGGGGGAGCGAACAGG